rnacentral:antisense_RNA from 1 species
UAUUCUCCAGGAAUAGUGAUUGUGAUUAGCGAUGCGGGUGUGUUGGCGCACAUCCGCACCGCGCU